GUUAUAUGGUCAAGUGAAGAAGCGCAUACGGUGGAUGCCUUGGCAGUCAGAGGCGAUGAAAGACGUGGUAGCCUGCGAAAAGCUUCGGGGAGUCGGCAAACAGACUGUGAUCCGGAGAUGUCUGAAUGGGGGAACCCAGCCAUCAUAAGAUGGUUAUCUUGUACUGAAUACAUAGGUGCAAGAGGCGAACCAGGGGAACUGAAACAUCUAAGUACCCUGAGGAAAAGAAAUCAACCGAGAUUCCCUUAGUAGUGGCGAGCGAACGGGGACCAGCCCUUAAGUUGUAUUGAGAUUAGCGGAACGUUCUGGAAAGGACGGCCAUAGUGGGUGAUAGCCCUGUACGCGAAAAUCCCUUUGCAAUGAAAUCGAGUAGGACGGGGCACGAGAAACCUUGUCUGAAUAUGGGGGGACCAUCCUCCAAGGCUAAAUACUACUGACUGACCGAUAGUGAACCAGUACCGUGAGGGAAAGGCGAAAAGAACCGCGGAGAGCGGAGUGAAAUAGAUCCUGAAACCGUAUGCGUACAAGCAGUGGGAGCCCACUUGUUGGGUGACUGCGUACCUUUUGUAUAAUGGGUCAGCGACUUAUUUUCAGUGGCGAGCUUAACCGAAUAGGGGAGGCGUAGCGAAAGCGAGUCUUAAUAGGGCGUCUAGUCGCUGGGAAUAGACCCGAAACCGGGCGAUCUAUCCAUGGGCAGGUUGAAGGUUGGGUAACGCUAACUGGAGGACCGAACCGACUACCGUUGAAAAGUUAGCGGAUGACCUGUGGAUCGGAGUGAAAGGCUAAUCAAGCUCGGAGAUAGCUGGUUCUCCUCGAAAGCUAUUUAGGUAGCGCCUCAUGUAUCACUGUAGGGGGUAGAGCACUGUUUCGGCUAGGGGGUCAUCCCGACUUACCAAACCGAUGCAAACUCCGAAUACCUACAAGUGCCGAGCAUGGGAGACACACGGCGGGUGCUAACGUCCGUCGUGAAAAGGGAAACAACCCAGACCGUCAGCUAAGGUCCCAAAGUCAUGGUUAAGUGGGAAACGAUGUGGGAAGGCUUAGACAGCUAGGAGGUUGGCUUAGAAGCAGCCACCCUUUAAAGAAAGCGUAAUAGCUCACUAGUCGAGUCGGCCUGCGCGGAAGAUGUAACGGGGCUCAAACCAUGCACCGAAGCUACGGGUAUCAUCUUUUGAUGAUGCGGUAGAGGAGCGUUCUGUAAGCCUGUGAAGGUGAGUUGAGAAGCUUGCUGGAGGUAUCAGAAGUGCGAAUGCUGACAUGAGUAACGACAAUGGGUGUGAAAAACACCCACGCCGAAAGACCAAGGUUUCCUGCGCAACGUUAAUCGACGCAGGGUUAGUCGGUCCCUAAGGCGAGGCUGAAAAGCGUAGUCGAUGGAAAACAGGUUAAUAUUCCUGUACUUCUGGUUAUUGCGAUGGAGGGACGGAGAAGGCUAGGCCAGCCUGGCGUUGGUUGUCCAGGUUUAAGGUGGUAGGCUGAGAUCUUAGGUAAAUCCGGGAUUUCAAGGCCGAGAGCUGAUGACGAGUGUUCUUUAGAACACGAAGUGGUUGAUGCCAUGCUUCCAAGAAAAGCUUCUAAGCUUCAGGUAACCAGGAACCGUACCCCAAACCGACACAGGUGGUUGGGUAGAGAAUACCAAGGCGCUUGAGAGAACUCGGGUGAAGGAACUAGGCAAAAUGGCACCGUAACUUCGGGAGAAGGUGCGCCGGUGAGGGUGAAGCAUUUACUGCGUAAGCCCACGCCGGUCGAAGAUACCAGGCCGCUGCGACUGUUUAUUAAAAACACAGCACUCUGCAAACACGAAAGUGGACGUAUAGGGUGUGACGCCUGCCCGGUGCCGGAAGGUUAAUUGAUGGGGUUAGCGCAAGCGAAGCUCUUGAUCGAAGCCCCGGUAAACGGCGGCCGUAACUAUAACGGUCCUAAGGUAGCGAAAUUCCUUGUCGGGUAAGUUCCGACCUGCACGAAUGGCGUAACGAUGGCGGCGCUGUCUCCACCCGAGACUCAGUGAAAUUGAAAUCGCUGUGAAGAUGCAGUGUAUCCGCGGCUAGACGGAAAGACCCCGUGAACCUUUACUAUAGCUUUGCACUGGACUUUGAAUUUGCUUGUGUAGGAUAGGUGGGAGGCUUUGAAGCGUGGACGCCAGUCUGCGUGGAGCCAACCUUGAAAUACCACCCUGGCAACUUUGAGGUUCUAACUCAGGUCCGUUAUCCGGAUCGAGGACAGUGUAUGGUGGGUAGUUUGACUGGGGCGGUCUCCUCCUAAAGAGUAACGGAGGAGUACGAAGGUGCGCUCAGACCGGUCGGAAAUCGGUCGUAGAGUAUAAAGGCAAAAGCGCGCUUGACUGCGAGACAGACACGUCGAGCAGGUACGAAAGUAGGUCUUAGUGAUCCGGUGGUUCUGUAUGGAAGGGCCAUCGCUCAACGGAUAAAAGGUACUCCGGGGAUAACAGGCUGAUACCGCCCAAGAGUUCAUAUCGACGGCGGUGUUUGGCACCUCGAUGUCGGCUCAUCACAUCCUGGGGCUGAAGCCGGUCCCAAGGGUAUGGCUGUUCGCCAUUUAAAGUGGUACGCGAGCUGGGUUUAGAACGUCGUGAGACAGUUCGGUCCCUAUCUGCCGUGGACGUUUGAGAUUUGAGAGGGGCUGCUCCUAGUACGAGAGGACCGGAGUGGACGAACCUCUGGUGUUCCGGUUGUCACGCCAGUGGCAUUGCCGGGUAGCUAUGUUCGGAAAAGAUAACCGCUGAAAGCAUCUAAGCGGGAAACUUGCCUCAAGAUGAGAUCUCACUGGAACCUUGAGUUCCCUAAAGGGCCGUCGAAGACUACGACGUUGAUAGGUUGGGUGUGUAAGCGCUGUGAGGCGUUGAGCUAACCAAUACUAAUUGCCCGUGAGGCUUGACCAUAUAACACCCAAGCAAUU
rnacentral:rRNA from 1 species